UGCACACAUCGAUGAGUCUUUGAGAUUUAUUUAGAAUUAUUAAGAAUUUUUAAUAGGCCAAGUCCACGUAUUCCAACAAUAUCAUCUUCACCAAAUUACCUAGUAAUUAACCAAAAAUGUAAAUGGCAUAUAGUAAGAGACUCGAAGAAGGGUCGACAAAUUAUACCACAAGGACUUUUUUUUAAUGAACAGUUGGGGCAGAAGAGCCCCAACUCAAAAUUUUGUUCAAAAGAAGAAACCAUAAACAUUACAAAAAGAGUUUUGCAGCAAGAGAAACAAAGCUCCAGAGAUAAGAUUCAAGAAACAAAGAAAGAAAC
rnacentral:lncRNA from 1 species